GUGAGGAAUAUUGGUCAAUGGGCGAGAGCCUGAACCAGCCAAGUCGCGUGAAGGAUGAAGGUUUUAUGAAUUGUAAACUUCUUUUGCAGGGGAAUAAAGUACGGUACGUGUACCGUUUUGUAUGUGCUCUGCGAAUAAGGAUCGGCUAACUCCGUGCCAGCAGCCGCGGUAAUACGGAGGAUCCAAGCGUUAUCCGGAUUUAUUGGGUUUAAAGGGUGCGCAGGCGGGUUGAUAAGUCAGCGGUGAAAGUUUGCAGCUUAACUGUAAAAUUGCCGUUGAAACUGUCGAUCUUGAGUGCAAAUGAGGUAAGCGGAAUGUGUUGUGUAGCGGUGAAAUGCUUAGAUAUAACACAGAACACCGAUUGCGAAGGCAGCUUACUGGGAUGCAACUGACGCUCAUGCACGAAAGCGUGGGGAUCAAACAGGAUUAGAAACCCCUGUAGUCC
rnacentral:rRNA from 1 species